GUCAUUUUCAUCAAAUUUUUUUGAUCAUAUCUUCAUCUUUGUCUUUGUCUUCCUCUUGGUCUUAGCCAUCAUGUCGUUUGAUAGAGGGAAAGACUUGGCGGAGGGGUCGCCGGGAGAUACCUCGCCGGCGACUCCGAGCCGCUACGAGUCCCAGAAGCGGCGGGACUGGAACACCUUCGGGCAGUACCUGCGGAAUCAGCGGCCACCGGUGGCGCUGUCCCAGUGUAACAGCAACCAUGUUCUGGAGUUUCUCCGGUACCUGGAUCAGUUCGGAAAGACUAAGGUUCACUUACAAGGUUGCAUCUUUUACGGACAGCCAGAGCCGCCGGCGCCGUGCACGUGCCCGCUUAAGCAGGCGUGGGGGAGCCUGGAUGCCCUCAUCGGACGCCUCCGCGCCGCCUACGAGGAGAACGGCGGCUCCCCGGAGACCAACCCCUUCGCCAGCGGCGCCAUUCGCGUCUACCUUCGGGAAGUCAAGGAAUGUCAGGCUAAGGCCCGUGGCAUUCCGUACAAGAAGAAGAAGAAGAAGCCCGCCGGCCCUGCUGGCAUGGCCGCCGCCGACGAUGAUUCCAGUACCUCUUCCUCGCCGUUUUCUUGAUCCAAAAAAAAAAACACGCUAUUUCCGGCCACCACUGCAACCUAAGCUAAGGAACCUGCGGUGUGUUAAGGUACAUGCAUGGCUGUCGUCGAUCGGAGCUGGCAAAACUCUUUCGCCAUUAUUAUUGCCGUUAUCAUUUGGUUAGUAAAUCUUAUUUUUUUUCUUUUUCUUUUCUUUUUUCCUUCAAUUAGAUCUAUUAAUAUCAAUAAUAUUAAUUGUUGUCUUGGAAUAAUAAGUACUAUAUAUAUAAUAUAAAAAUAUAUAUAUAUAAUAUUGCAAGCUGGCUACUUUAGCCCCCAUCAUCUUAUGUUGUUUGUGAAUUCCUAAGAUUUUGUAAGAUCGCAAUCAAACUCGAUCAUGUAUAAAUUGAGUUUUGUUUUAAUAUUGUUUUUA